ACCCUCUCAGGGUUGCACCUAGAGAGUUUCCAGUACUCUACCAAUCUCGACUAGAGGAGGGAGAGUCAAGCAGAAGCGUACCCAUUCCAUUGCUAGCUUGGUCAGUGGCUAGAGAGUGGAAGGCAAUCUGCUACAAGU